AAAUUAUUCAUUUACAUGCCAUAAAAAUCAGAGAUGGGAGAAGCAAAACACAGAGCCAAAGCAGAGAUAGAGAGAUUACAGCAUAGGCAACAAAAUCAUUUUUCCCCAGCCUUUCACUCCAAUAAUGUGCCAAAGCACAAUGUGCACUGCC